AGAAUCAACGCUGGCGGCGUGCCUAACACAUGCAAGUCGCACGAGAAAGGGGAGCAAUCCCUGAGUACAGUGGCGCACGGGUGAGUAACACGUGAAUAAUCUACCUCAGAGUGGGGAAUAACUGAGAGAAAUCUUAGCUAAUACCGCAUAAUACCCACGGGUCAAAGCAGCAAUGCGCUUGGAGAGGAGUUCGCGGCAGAUUAGUUAGUUGGCGGGGUAAUGGCCCACCAAGACGAUGAUCUGUAUCCGGCCUGAGAGGGCGCACGGACACACUGGAACUGAAACACGGUCCAGACUCCUACGGGAGGCAGCAGUGGGGAAUUUUGCGCAAUGGGGGAAACCCUGACGCAGCAACGCCGCGUGGAGGAUGAAGCCCCUUGGGGUGUAAACUCCUUUCGAUCGGGAAGAUAAUGACGGUACCGAUAUAAGAAGCCCGGCUAACUUCGUGCCAGCAGCCGC
rnacentral:rRNA from 1 species